AACCUAGCACACCUGCGGUGUGUACCUGCGGAAGGAUCAUUAAAAAGAGUGUGUACCCCUCUGUAAAAUGAGUGGGUUACCUCCCGUCCUUUGUUGACCUCUUAGGAGGUUAUUUUGAACUUUCUGCUUCGGUGGGGUUAAACCUACCGGAACACCCUCAAAUUCUUAUCAUUUAAAAAUUGUUCAGUCUGAUUUUUGUUAAUAAAAACAAAAAACUUUCAACAACGGAUCUCAGAUCGG
rnacentral:misc_RNA from 1 species